GACGAACGCUGGCGGCGUGCUUAACACAUGCAAGUCGAGCGGAAAGGCCCUGCUUUUGUGGGGUGCUCGAGUGGCGAACGGGUGAGUAACACGUGAGUAACCUGCCCUUGACUUUGGGAUAACUUCAGGAAACUGGGGCUAAUACCGGAUAGGAGCUCCUGCUGCAUGGUGGGGGUUGGAAAGUUUCGGCGGUUGGGGAUGGACUCGCGGCUUAUCAGCUUGUUGGUGGGGUAGUGGCUUACCAAGGCUUUGACGGGUAGCCGGCCUGAGAGGGCGACCGGCCACAUUGGGACUGAGAUACGGCCCAGACUCCUACGGGAGGCAGCAGUGGGGAAUAUUGCACAAUGGGCGGAAGCCUGAUGCAGCAACGCCGCGUGCGGGAUGACGGCCUUCGGGUUGUAAACCGCUUUCGCCUGUGACGAAGCGUGAGUGACGGUAAUGGGUAAAGAAGCACCGGCUAACUACGUG
rnacentral:rRNA from 1 species